rnacentral:lncRNA from 1 species
GCCACUGCUAUACGUGUCAAUCAUAGUAAAGGCCAAGGUAUUGGGGCCAAGAGCCGUCAGCUUGUUUCCGAUGUCUGAGUCCUAAGUCGACAUGAAUGUGUGUAGGGUUCAGCACGUUCCCGAAGCCAUUGUAGCAGCAUUGUGCUCAGUGGCGGAUCUAGCAAGUAUAGCAAAAAUCGUUUAUAUCCCUUAUGUUUUUAUUAAUUUAGUAAAAUAAUAAUGAAACGACCCCACCCCGAACCCCAGCGGGAGUCUAUAUGACCUCCUCCAAACUGGAUUGAUAAAAUUCUAUUAGUAAGGAUUCUGCCGAAAAUUUGGUAGAGUCUCAUUUAUAAAUAUAAUACUCCCAAUCCGCAAAUAUGAAUAUAACACUCCUCAAAAUAAUUCAAUAUACAACCAACUCCAAAGAUCAACAUCCUCAACAAAAAUACUGAAUUUUACUCAAGAUAUUUCUAGAGUCUCAAAAGAUAAUAUUAUAACUAGUAUUAUUAUCUCAGUUUAUUCUUAAUCCCAAAAUAAUAAUAUAACAAAAUUAUACAAUCCCAAAAGAACGAGAUAACCAAGAUGUCCUAAUAAAAUCAUCUAUAUCUUCUAACACCAUCACGUGGCCAAAACUCAAAAUAUAUUUACAGUCGCUGGGUCGAUCUGGUGUACCUGCAACCUCCUGGUGGGGGGGAAAAUAUAAUAAAAGCAUAAUGAGUAUAAAACUCAGUGAGAUCGGUGAGUGGAUAGUAGUUUUUGAAAAUUAAUUCUUACUUUAAAAGAAAUAAUCAUAUCAUUUCCAAACACGAUUUCAUCAAACCAUAUGCGAGAAACCAGUAAUAAAUCAUUUAACAUUUAAAUCAUAUUACUAACCAUGAAAAACAUAUAUAAUAUCGUACUAAAUAACCAUGCAAAUCAUAUCACAAUAUCAUAUAGAAUACACAAAUCGGAAAAUCAUCACCAAACAAGUACUCAGGGAAAUAAUCUUGUCAUAUCCGGACCUCAACGGACAGGCAAUGACGUACUAUCUGGGUACCGUCACACCCCGGAGCUACACGGAUAGAUAGGGAAAUACCAUCUCAUAUCUCAUCAUAUCGCAUCAUAUAUGUGCAUACAUAAUCUAGUCCCCAAAGGACAAAAGCGCCCAAGUACACGGCCCAAAGCCUUUGUGUGUGCUCAGACAGGCCCCAAAGGCAUGUAUCUCAUUUGUAUCAUAUGUGUCAUAUGUAUCUCAAUAUCUGUCUGUAUCUCAUAUAUGUAUCUUUGUAAUCAUCAUACCGCAUGCAUAUGCCCCCAAAAGGCAAAGGCGCCCAAACACACGACCCAAAGCCUCUAUGUGUGUUCAGACGGGCCCCAAAGGCCUCUAUCUCAUCUCAUCUGUAUCACUGUAUCUGGAGGGAGGGGUACUGUCCAAUGAUUUUAAAAACAAUCUCUAUACUCAUAUUCAUAUAUAUUUUAAUCAUACUUUAAAUCAUACAUUUCUUUUCAUUAUCACAUCUAAAUCCACUUUUCUCAUCUUUAAAAUUCUAUCAUAUUUCAUUCAAAGUCGACACGGAAAACCAUUGACCAAACAUUUUAAUAUAAUAUCAAUGCGUGUAUAAAAUCCAUUUCAAGGAAAUCAUUAAAUCAGAACAUUUAAAAAACUUAUUUCUCAAACAUGCUUUACUAUCAUAAUUAACUAUGAAAAUAGAUUUUGUAUAUUCCACUCACAGUGACGGUGUUCACGCUCGGUUAUCGUCCAUGUCCGUGGACCGGUUCUCGCUCGCAGAUCCUCC